CCAGAGAGGCUGCAGUGGUAGUUGCAUUAUAGUUUUGGAAAUCAUAAUUGUACGGGAAGGAAGUUCAGAUUCUCUGGGAUUAUUAGAAUGUGAAAUUUAUCUUCAUUUAUUAAAAACUUGUACUUGGACAGUGCAGUUGGAUUGAGUUUGUAGCAGGCUAUAGUCUGGAUAUCACAUACUAUUUGGUAAGGACAACCAAGUGAUAAAUGCCUUGGGUAGGCGUAUGAGCUGUACCUCAGGAACCAAG
rnacentral:lncRNA from 1 species